rnacentral:lncRNA from 1 species
GCAACAGGCAAGGGUGAACGGGGAGCACGAAUCACGAAGCAUGUAAAUUGGGAGUCUAUGUCAUUGUGCGGACUGCAGGAGCGAAUGCUUACCACGAGAGACUGCUUCCCAAUGCAGCUAACGAGGCCGCCAUGUCCGAGAAACGUAACAUGGCAACCAUAACCAAGUCAGAUAACAGUGAAAUGAGACUGCAAUCAAUGACCGCAUAAGGUCCACACAAUACAUUAUACAUUGGUGAAGAUCCAUAUGACAACAGUGAGCAUUCAGGUACAUGGGUCACUUACGGCACAUUCAGCUGUCCGACUACAGGCAUAGCGCUUGCCUCCAACACACAUGGUGGUCUGGAAAUGAGCGACAACAAGCAGC